rnacentral:rRNA from 1 species
GGGCUGGGGUACGGCUACCAGCCGAUGACGGGUAGGGGGCGUGAGAGCGUGGCCCCCCACACGGGGACUGAGACACGGCCCCGACGCCUACGGGCGGCAGCAGUGAGGAAUCUUGCGCAAUGGGGGAAACCCUGACGCAGCGACGCCGCGUGCGGGAGGAAGGCCUUCGGGUCGUAAACCGCUUUUCUGGGGGACGAGACAAGGACGGUACCCCAGGAAGAAGUCCCGGCUAACUACGUGCCA